AGGAGGACCAGCUUGAGUACCUCGAGGAGCGCCGCCUUAAGGAUUUGAUCAAGAAGCACUCUGAGUUUAUCAGCUACCCAAUCUCUCUCUGGAUUGAGAAAACUACCGAGAAGGAGAUUUCUGAUGAUGAGGAUGAGGAAGAGAAGAAGGAUGAGGAAGGAAAGGUUGAGGAAGUUGAUGAAGAGAAAGAGAAGGAGGAAAAGAAAAAGAAGAAGAUUAAGGAGGUGUCCCAUGAGUGGUCUUUGGUUAACA
rnacentral:lncRNA from 1 species